UUUCAAAGUUAUCAAAUAGAUGAAAUGUGGAAAAAAUCCCCUUACGAACAAUUCACACAUCCACCAUUUCGGGCUGGGAAAAAUUUUUCGAAUAGAAUCAAAGAUCCAAACACCAGUUCUUAGAAAUGUGUUUCGCCCUCUUCAACCUCUCUGGGCUCGUCGGUAAAGACAAGAGGUUGAAUAUCUUUAGACACAUUCUAAUCAAAAAACAACAUUCGAGACCUAGACAUAGAAGGUGCGUAAGUCUACGGCAAAUCCGACAAUGACAGUCUCAAGUUUUAAUUCCCUAAUUACUUAAAUCAUGAAGUUAAGUAGUAUCGUGGGAUAUUUGAAGUUCUUGGGUACUGAAAAUUCAAGAAGUUUUAAACUCUAGUCAUCUUAUUUUGGCUGCAAAAAUAGAGGAAAGUUCUGAGCAUACCAUCAAAAUAUAAUAUGCUUUAUUCCUUCAGUAAGGUCCAAUCCCCACGAAAUUAAAGGAACCCUAUCUUUCACAAAUGGCAUGAGCAUUAGCCAAAUGUUAUGUUCUUCUAAAGCAGAAAAUAGUGGAAAAUGUAAACAUGUCUCUACUCUUGUUAAAUGGAAAAUGUGAAAUUAAUGGAACAUUCAGUACAUGAGUUGAAAAAAUGUUAACAGAUUGGCAAAUGAAGACCAUUUUUAAUUGAUCUAAACAUUUAUAGAAACAAAGUAUAUGGUUAAUAUAAAUAUUACCUGCCUGAAGUAACUUGGUGUACAAAUUAAUAGUAACCAUAAUUUUUAUUCCCAGGGCCAGUGAGAAACAAUGUGCAUUUGAUUUCUAAGUGUUCUAAGGAAAGAUCUCGUAAGAAUAAAUAGAUCUGUACAAUGAAGAUUAACCUAAUCUGUUUAACCAUCGAAAUUAUUGUAUUGUUAUAAAAAUAAUAAAUCUCCAUUUCAUAUUAUUUACACUUACAUACAUUAACCUGGAAUUUCAUUGUGUCUACAUUAGUGGCCAUAGUCAGAAACCUACGCUAGUCUACGGAGGUACUGUCUUUCACAGAUGUGGUAAAACCGUGUUUGAUACAUAAUUGCUAAAUAAACUUUGUGAAUAGUAACUUUUCACAAAAUAGACAAAAUAGAGUUUUAAUAGUUUUUACUGUACUUAAAUAUUUUUUACAUUCAGUGGUAAUAACAUAUUAUAUUUUGUUUUGGUAUUUAAAUUUACCUAAAUAUUUAUAGAAAUAUACUAUACUAAAUUCAAGAUGCAGUAGAAAUAAACAAACCAAGACACAUUAAAUGCUACUAUGAGCACUCCCGAAUCAUAAUUUACAAUGUAUAUACAUUGUAAAUCCCAAAUCAUGAUUUCCAAAGUUUGUACAUUGUGAAUUAUGAUUCGGGAGUGCUCCUAAUAGUAGCAUUUAACUUGUCUUGGUUUGUUUAUUUCUACUGCAUCUUAAUUUUAAAUUUAGUGUAGAUGUGGCCAUCAUAGGACGCUUACUUAUAGAUGCAAUAAAAUUAUUGGUUUAUUUUCAUUUUAAAUGUUAUACUUCCAGUAUUGUAUGUAUUACCUAGUAUUAAAACAUAUAUUUUUAAUUAAAAAUAUAAAUAUCUUAUUUUUAUAAUGAACAACAUUAAAUUUACUUCUUGCGGGAGUAGAAAAAAGUUAUAGUAAAUAUUUUUAACUCGUUUAGCUUUUGAUGAUAUUUGCCAUAUGUUUGUGUAAGACAUGUUUAACGAGCAGUCUAAGGACAUAUUAUUAUACUUUGUUAUACAAAAUAGACAUAAAAUUUUGAAACUUUCAGCUUCACUUUUUCAUUGUUUCAAUAUUAAAUCCCAAAUUUAGACUCUCCACCAUUUUCUCAUAAAAAAGUAUGUUCAGUUUUUACCCCAGGUAGACCGAAACCACCAAAAAAUUGAUGUUACUUAAGUUUUUAAGUAUUAAAAAAAUGCGUUUCAUCAGAUACACAAAAUAAUAAUAAAAACUUUACUAUUAAACCAAAGUUUUAGUUAAAAUAAAAACAAAAUGUUUGCUUUCUGUGUAGAGUUACAAAAAUAAGUUGAAAUGCUAUUUAAUUUCGUAUUAUUUCCUGGUGAUCCUCUGCCAUACUAAUUUUACAUUGAUCUUACAUGCAAGCAUUUGUAAAUUAAUUUACCAUUAAAGGGCGGCCAAAGGUAUAUUCAUAUUAAAUGGGUGGUUGUAGUUUUGUAUAUUUUAUUUUCAUUUGUAUUAUUUUUAUUUUAGUUUUGUAAUAUUUUUAAGAACAAAUAAAAUAAUUAUAAUUA